ensembl:rRNA 5S_rRNA 5S ribosomal RNA
GUCUAUGACCAUAGCACCCUGUACACAACUGUUCCCAUCCAAUCUUGGAAGCUAAGGAGGACCGGGCCUGGUUAGUACUGGGAUGGGAAACUGUCUGGGAAUAUUGGGUGCUGAAAACU